rnacentral:rRNA from 1 species
CGCAGUCUGCAACUCGACUGCGUAAAGGUGGAGUCGCUAGUAAUCGCGGAUCAGCAACGCCGCGGUGAAUGCGUUCCCGGGCCUUGUACACACCGCCCGUCAAGUCAUGAAAGUGGGCAGCACCCGAAGACGGUGGCCUAACCCUUGUGGGGGGAGCCGUCUAAGGUGAGGCUCGUGAUUGGGACUAAGUCGUAACAAGGUAAC